GAUGAAUGCUGGCGGCGUGCCUAAUACAUGCAAGUCGAGCGGUAAGGCCCUUCGGGUACACGAGCGGCGGACGGCUGAGUAACGCGUGGGAACAUGCCCCAAAGUGAGGGAUAACGCACCGAAAGGUGUGCUAAUACCGCAUAUGGUCUUCGGAUUAAAGGAUUUAUCCGCUUUGGGAGUGGCCCGCGUACGAUUAGAUUGUUGGUGAGGUAACGGCUCACCAAGUCGACGAUCGUUAACUGGUCUGAGAGGAUGAUCAGUCAGACUGGAACUGAGACACGGUCCAGACUCCUACGGGAGGCAGCAGUAAGGAAUCUUCCACAAUGGGCGAAAGCCUGAUGGAGCAACGCCGCGUGCAGGAUGAAGGCCCUCGGGUCGUAAACUGCUUUAUG
rnacentral:rRNA from 1 species